rnacentral:rRNA from 1 species
UACAUGGGGUGCAAACGUUGCUCGGAAUUAUUGGGCGUAAAGCGCGCGUAGGCGGUUACUCAAGUCGGAUGUGAAAGCCCUCGGCUUAACUGAGGAAGUGCACCCGAAACUGAGUAGCUAGAGUACUAAAGAGGGUCGCGGAAUUCCCGGUGUAGAGGUGAAAUUCGUAGAUAUCGGGAGGAACACCGGUGGCGAAAGCGCUCGUCUGGCCCAAUACUGACGCUGAUGCGCGAAAGCUAGGGGAGCAAACGGG